rnacentral:rRNA from 1 species
GACGAACGCUGGCGGCGUGCUUAACACAUGCAAGUCGAACGGUAAGGCCCUUCGGGGUACACGAGUGGCGAACGGGUGAGUAACACGUGGGUGAUCUGCCCUGCACUUCGGGAUAAGCCUGGGAAACUGGGUCUAAUACCGGAUAGGACCACUGCCUGCAUGGGUGGUGGUGGAAAGCUUUUGCGGUGUGGGAUGGGCCCGCGGCCUAUCAGCUUGUUGGUGGGGUGAUGGCCUACCAAGGCGACGACGGGUAGCCGGCCUGAGAGGGUGACCGGCCACACUGGGACUGAGAUACGGCCCAGACUCCUACGGGAGGCAGCAGUGGGGAAUAUUGCACAAUGGGCGCAAGCCUGAUGCAGCGACGCCGCGUGAGGGAUGACGGCCUUCGGGUUGUAAACCUCUUUCAGCACCGACGAAGCGCAAGUGACGGUAGGUGCAGAAGAAGGACCGGCCAACUACGUGCCAGCCGCCGCGGUAA